rnacentral:rRNA from 1 species
UACGAAGGGGGCUAGCGUUGCUCGGAAUCACUGGGCGUAAAGGGCGCGUAGGCGGCCGAUCAAGUCAGGGGUGAAAGCCUGUGGCUCAACCACAGAAUUGCCUUUGAUACUGUUCGGCUCGAGACCGGAAGAGGUUGGUGGAACUGCGAGUGUAGAGGUGAAAUUCGUAGAUAUUCGCAAGAACACCAGUGGCGAAGGCGGCCAACUGGUCCGGUUCUGACGCUGAGGCGCGAAAGCGUGGGGAGCAAACAGG